UUUCAUACAUCUACGACAAAAGACGAACUGAUGUCAUGUUGUAUGUUUGCGUCUUGCAGUAAGUACGAGGAUCUGUACAGCUCACCGCGCGCACGGACAGAAGAAUUUUUCCAUGGACCCCCUGGUUUGGGAGACGGCCGCAGUUUGAAAAACUGUGGUGUAAAGAUGGCAUGGAUUGGAGAGGCCCGCUGUGCUGCUGCGGCUGCCCACACACCGUUUGCACUGUUUGGCCGCCAGAGGGCAGCGCGGGACCGGAACCCAGUGGCACCGGAGGGAGGAAGAGAGGAAAGGCGGUCGAGAGAUCGCUGGCCGUGCAACACGGACUACAGUUCAUCUCACGGGUCGGCGCAUAUUUUAAACAGCCUUUAUUACCCUAACCCAAACCGCUGUUUUUCCCCCUCCCGUUUCUAAAUCCGUUUACUGAGGGUCUUUUAUAAGCAGAAAUGUGAAAAGUGCUGACUGCUAUUCCCAUUUUGAGGAUAUCUGACUUCAUCAAAUUACAGUUGGGUUUUUGAAUAUUUCAUAUUUGAUCAAAAGCCCUUUACAAGCUGCACACACACACACACACACACGCACGCACGCACGCACACACACACACACACACACACACGGGAGAAAUAUUGAUCAA
rnacentral:lncRNA from 1 species